rnacentral:rRNA from 1 species
CACGAACCGUACGAACGUUAUUCGGAAUUACUGGGCUUAAAGGGUUUGUAGGCGGCCAUGUAAGUCAGGUGUGAAAUCCCUCGGCUCAACCGAGGAACGGCGCUUGAUACUGCAUGGCUUGAGGGAGACAGGGGUAAGCGGAGCUGAUGGUGGAGCGGUGAAAUGCGUUGAUAUCAUCAGGAACACCGGUGGCGAAAGCGGCUUACUGGGUCUCUUCUGACGCUGAGGAACGAAAGCUAGGGUAGCGAACGGG